AAUGAACGCUAGCUACAGGCUUAACACAUGCAAGUCGAGGGGUAGCAGGGUAGCAAUACCGCUGACGACCGGCGCACGGGUGAGUAACACGUAUCCAACCUUCCCAUAACUCGGGGAUAGCCUUUCGAAAGAAAGAUUAAUACCCGAUAGUACUUAUAUAGGGCAUCCUACAUAAGUUAAAGAUUUAUUGGUUAUGGAUGGGGAUGCGUUCCAUUAGAUAGUUGGUGAGGUAACGGCUCACAAAGUCUUCGAUGGAUAGGGGUUCUGAGAGGAAGGUCCCCCACAUUGGUACUGAGACACGGACCAAACUCCUACGGGAGGCAGCAGUGAGGAAUAUUGGUCAAUGGGCGAGAGCCUGAACCAGCCAAGUAGCGUGAAGGAUGAAGGUCCUAUGGAUUGUAAACUUCUUUUAUAGUAGAAUAAAGUGAUCCACGUGUGGAUUUUUGUAUGUAUACUAUGAAUAAGGAUCGGCUAACUCCGUGCCAGCAGCCGCGGUAAUAC
rnacentral:rRNA from 1 species